rnacentral:rRNA from 1 species
UGAGCUUGAUCCUGGCUCAGAGUGAACGCUGGCGGUAGGCCUAACACAUGCAAGUCGAACGGCAGCACAGUAAGAGCUUGCUCUUAUGGGUGGCGAGUGGCGGACGGGUGAGGAAUACAUCGGAAUCUACCUUUUCGUGGGGGAUAACGUAGGGAAACUUACGCUAAUACCGCAUACGACCUUCGGGUGAAAGCAGGGGACCUUCGGGCCUUGCGCGGAUAGAUGAGCCGAUGUCGGAUUAGCUAGUUGGCGGGGUAAAGGCCCACCAAGGCGACGAUCCGUAGCUGGUCUGAGAGGAUGAUCAGCCACACUGGAACUGAGACACGGUCCAGACUCCUACGGGAGGCAGCAGUGGGGAAUAUUGGACAAUGGGCGCAAGCCUGAUCCAGCCAUACCGCGUGGGUGAAGAAGGCCUUCGGGUUGUAAAGCCCUUUUGUUGGGAAAGAAAAGCAGUCGAUUAAUACUCGGUUGUUCUGACGGUACCCAAG